rnacentral:lncRNA from 1 species
UGUGAUUCCAACAACUACGAUAUUCUGUGAGGUCGACCUGGUGUCAUACUACUUAAUUAACUCUUGUGUGCCACCAUACCCCUGGUCGCAGUGCCCAUGACUUCGGUCCUAGCAUGUCGCAUGCCACAGCUUCUGCCACCUCACAAUCUUCAACUUGUUGGAGUACUGGCCAACCUCAUGGAACCACAGUAAGCUCCUUAAUGUUCUCCUCCUGCUUCUUCUCCCCUUUUUGUUUAGUCCCUGAUACUAAGGUUUAGUAGAGUCGACGCUAAAGUCCGUGUAGUUGUACAUGCUUCUUAGAAUAUCCCAAUUACCCAUAUGCAUGUUGAUGGUCAGCAUUUUGCUGCAAACUUGCUGCAUUAUCAUAUAAAGUUUCUGUUAUCGACCCUCUCCUACUAAUAUAGUUGUAUUGGUUUGGGAAUAGUACGAUGAUGGUCCUGGCAGACAAUGAAAGUAUGAAACUUAACACUGCACAUUAAUUAAUUUUUAGUUGCAUGCUCAUCCCUGAGAAGCUCAACAAAAAUUAUACCAUGUGAAAAUAUUCUUGUAUAAAUUUACAGUAUAUGACUUUCAGUGUUUGUGCCCAGCAAGUGACAAGAUUUAAUAAGUAUGACAGUUACAUGUAUUUUUCUCAGUGUAUAUAUGUUAUUUUCGCGCCGAGUUUAACAUGACUAGAAGUUUGAUUACUCUUGUGUAGAAUAAAACAGAGGUUUAGGUUGUUCUUGUAGGCUGAGUUUGAAUAUAGUAUGUGCAUGUGCAUGGCAGUCAAAUUAUAUACAUGUUGAGUUCCUGUUUAAUAACUUGGUCUUGAUGCUACCGUUGUCCGUACCCCACAAAUCAAACCCAACCCAAGUCAAAAGAUAGUGUCACUAGUUUCUCAUCAAAUCUACAUGAAAUUUAUACAUAUACAUACUACACAGCUGGCUCCCACCCGUCAUCCUCUCCCUUUUCUCUCUCUCUCGCCACCAAGUGGGCCUUAGCUGCUGAGUACUGCUAUGCGAUCCAUGCGAUUUAGCGAUAUGUUUAGGAAGCAGUGGAAGAAAAUAGCCCGCCUAUGCGAAGGUUAACCGUACUAGGAUCUAGGCAACAAGAAAACGCCUAGCAAUUCCUUUAUCCUCGUUAGGGAGUCUAGAUCUCCAUAUAAUGAGCUCCAAUAUUAUUACGGGCUUAUAAGGAUGGCUAGUAGAGUUUGUUAAUAAUUCUGGCAAGUAUAUCUUGUGUAGAUGAUCAAUAGUAUCCAUAGUUUCAUUUUGUUAUAUCAUGCAAUAUUUUAUUCAAUGUCUCAUGGAACUGGCCCUGUUUGCUAGAUGCAACAAAUGACAAUAGUUUCUGUGGUUCCUUUUUAACAUGCAAAAAAUGGUAACAUACUGCAUUGACGAUUGUCUAUCGGCAUAGAGCCAAAUAUUUGAUUAUCUCUUGUAGUACAUAGAUGAUGUGAUUUCCAGUAAUAAUUUCAGUCACCUUUGAAUGUUAUUAGUUUGUUACUUAUGUACUGACAUUAUUGUCCUGUUUUAUGUUGUCCACAUGAAGGUUUUUCUCACUAAACAGAUCUACAGCUAUCAGUAAUAUAAUGAGUUGUUGUUUUGUUUCCAGGCAUGGUUCUUCCAUCCCACCCUUAUCUUCUCAAGGAAACACACAUCAGUAUUCUUCAUAUGGUGGUGGAUACCAGAGUGGUAGUACAACAAAAAAGAUUGAUAUC